UACGGGGGGAGCAAGCGUUGUUCGGAUUUACUGGGCGUAAAGAGCUCGUAGGCGGUUUGUCGCGUCGAAUGUGAAAACCCGGGGCUCAACCCCGGGCCUGCAUUCGAUACGGGCAGACUAGAGUUCGGUAGGGGAGUCUGGAAUUCCUGGUGUAGCGGUGAAAUGCGCAGAUAUCAGGAGGAACACCGGUGGCGAAGGCGGGACUCUGGGCCGAUACUGACGCUGAGGAGCGAAAGCGUGGGGAGCAAACAGG
rnacentral:rRNA from 1 species